rnacentral:misc_RNA from 1 species
CAACAUAUCUUUCUCUCUGAGUCAUAUCUUUUCCCUACAUAUUGAAUUUGACUUUUACAACCCAUUGUUAAUAGAUUUCGCUUGAUAUUGUCAGCUAUUUGAAAAUCUGUAUGAAUUGAUACAUGUAUAUUGAGAACAUGAUAAACGUAUAAACAUUUGAGAUAUUUUUUCCAUUUUGGAUUUGAAUACCAAGGCUUAAAGUCAGUUGACCUUUUGACUUUCACCUAGUUUUGUGGUAUAGAUUUUGAUGUGAUUUCACAGAUGUUUUCCAUGUACAUAUGACUAUAUCCUGUUUCAAUACUGUUAUCCUUUUGGACAAUUGUAUGUUUUCAUAAUUAAGUGUUCAGUCGGUGUGCUUUUGCAUACCAAAAGUCAUGUGGUUUUUUUCUUUGAUGGAGUGUUGUUCAUUUUUCAGCUACUGUGCUUUAUUUUUUGUUGUUACAUUUUACAUGUAUGUUUAUAGAGAUUUUAAUGCAUGUUUUAAAUGAACCAUUUGAUGAGUUGCAAUAUUAACCAAUGUGUGCUGAUGAAAUUGUGUAUGGUAAUUCAUAUAUAUUAAAGAGACAUGAAUGUUGU